ensembl:lncRNA
AAGAGACUUAUCCAACCAUGGCUUUACUUUAGGAUGAUCUGGCUUGGCUACUUAGUUGUGGAGCCUAGAAGCCCACUACCUCCCGACCUCUCAGUUUCAGUUGGUCACACUGUGCGCGGAAGGAUCUUCUUACCUCCUGGUUGAGCAUGAGUCUGUCAACUACUAUUUUGAAAGCUGAGCAUCUAAUACAGACACGGUGACUGACUGGAAAUUACUACUCAAGAUUUGUCAGCUGACUGGUAGAAUACUUGGAAGCUCAACCAUGCGCCUGGUAAAAGCUAAACCCAGGAAAUAACAUGGCCUCAAGCUGAAGGGGAAAUGCCUGACAAUGUCCACUGGGAAAAGGAAAAAAACAAGUGAGACUCAAGUUGUGAUCCUGCUUCCCAGGUCUUUCCUGCCCACCUCUUCCUUUCUUUUGGGG